AGAGAGAGACAUGCGCGCAUAUCAAUAAGCGGAGGAAAAGAAACUAACUAGGAUUCCCUCAGUAACGGCGAGUGAAGCGGGAAGAGCUCAAAUUUGAAAUCUUCAAGGUUCUACCUUGACGAAUUGUAGUUUAAAGAAGUGUUUUCUGUUGGAGUUUUGGUAAAAGUUCUUUGGAAUAGGACAUCAUAGAGGGUGAGAAUCCCGUAUUUGACCAUUAUUUCCAGCUUUGUGAUACACUUUCAAAGAGUCGGAUUGUUUGGGAAUGCAGUCCAAAAUGGGUGGUAAAUUUCAUCUAAAGCUAAAUACUUGGCGAGAGACCGAUAGCGAACAAGUACCGUGAGGGAAAGAUGAAAAGAACUUUGAAAAGAGAGUUAAACAGUACGUGAAAUUGUCAAAAGGGAAGCGUUUGACACCAGUGUUGUUUUCUCGAAAAUCAAUUAAAAAAGGCAGGAUUUUGUGUUGUAUUGACUUUAUCAGCUUUCUGCACUCUUUUCUUGUCUUUUUUAAUGCACUUUUCGUUUAACAAGUCAACAUCAAUUUCUUUUGUCGUAAAAGGGUCAUUGGAAGGUGGCUUUCUUUUCGGAGAAAGUGUUUAUAGCCUUUGGCCUCUGCAAUCGGAGAGAUUGAGGUCUGCAGCGUAGAUCCUUCGGGGUUAGAUACAUUUGUGCUAAGUUAUAGCCUUUCAUAGACAACUUGUUGACUAUGAUCAGUCAUGUAGCUUACUCGCUUAUGCUAUUUUACCUACGCUUAGGAUGUUGAUGUGAUACUGCGAGC
rnacentral:rRNA from 1 species